rnacentral:rRNA from 1 species
CCCUUAGAUGUUCUGGGCCGCACGCGUGCUACACUGAGUAAUUCAAUGGGUAAGGGAACGCUAGAGCAUUACCUAAUCUUGAAAUUUGCUCGUGAUGGGGAUCGACGGUUGCAAUUUUCCGUCGUGAACGAGGAAUACCUUGUAGGCGCAUGUCAUCAUCAUGCGCCGAAUACGUCCCUGCCCUUUGUACACACCGCCCGUCGCUCCUACCGAUUGAGUGAUCCGGUGAGGCUCUGGGACCUGGACGGAAAGAGUGUUUCGCUUGUUCUGUUUGGGAAACUUGGUCGAACCUUAUCAUUUAGAGGAAGGAGAAGUCGUAACA